rnacentral:tRNA from 1 species
AAGAAUUUAAGUUAAAUAAACUAGUAACCUUCAAAGUUUCUUACAGAAUAAUUAUAUUUCUAAUUCUUA